CAGGCUGCAGCCAUAGUCAUAAGUAGCAGAAAAAAGGUGAUAGCAAUAUUUUGUUAUUCCGAUCACGAAAUGCCAGUUGAAAAAGUUAUCAAGCGUGACAUAUCAUAAUUGGUCGAAUAUAGCAAAAUAAUGUUAUCUUCUUUCAAGUAAGUUUUUCUUCAUAAGUAAACUGUGUUUUAAUUUAAUAAAAUUAUCAUUAAUUUGAAGAUUUUUUAGUCAUAAAAUAGUUUGAUUGUAACUGGGUUGAAAUGGAAAUGGUCAAAGGUCAAUAAUCAUCAGCGUUGAAUCGAUCAACAACUAGAGUCUACAGAUGAGGGCAGAAAGAUAUGACUAGAAAUUCUAAUUCUACGUUUGAAAAUGCCAAUUUUCUUGGACCAUCCAUGGUGGAAAUUAAAUUGAUGAGAGAAAAGGAGGGGAUCUUUCAUGGUUAUUUCUGCAUUACUGCCUGGCAAGGAAAAUAAUAUGCUGUUUUGUAUCGACAUGUGAAUUAGUCUAAGUUUUAGUUAGACUUUUGUUUUUGUCAAAUCUAUAAUGAUUUUUUUUUCAAGGCGUGCUGCUCAUUGCACCUAUUUAGUAAUGCUGUUGUAACUAUUAAACUACUAAAUAUAAGUUCAACUUUCAUACCCGGGCGCGAACAUAAACCACUAACAUUGCUGUG
rnacentral:lncRNA from 1 species